GGCAAGACAGGUUUUGUUAACUCCUGUUUCAAAUGAGGAAACUGAGAUUCAGAGGGGCUAAGUGAUUUGCUCAGGAUCAUGUGACUAGCAGAGACAGGAACAAACACUCAAACCACAGCAUUUGCUCUCCAAACCCAAUGCUCCCUAUGUCAGAUGAUGCUGCAUCUCCCCUUCUAUUGACUUCUGAGGCAGCUUGCCAAGAGACUGCAGCCCACCUACCUCCAGGUACCAGCUCUGCUGCCUUCAGCUACCAACAUCCAUGGCGGUGAGUUGGGCUCACAAGGGAGAGUUGCCUCAACAUCCAUCUUCCAGCCAACAAGAUUGUCAUGGAGACAGGUGAAGAAAUGAGUGGAGCUGAUGCCCAGAGCGCAGCCUGUGGGAACAGAGGCUGUGCAUGCAAGCACAGCAGGCCCUUCUCCAGCUGCUCACAAUUCCUCCCAGAGUUCAGAGAAAAGCUCUGGGCCCUUAAACACUUCAGAAUCAGGCAUGUGAAUGUUUGAACCCAGCUCUGCAGUAAAUUUUAACUUCUCUGGACCUCCAAAAUGAGGAAGAGAAUGUUAACAUCACAGCAUAUUUUCAGCAUCAGCUGAGCUGCAGCCACCAUUUAACUGCAACUCCAUGAGGACUCUAAGCUAGAAGGACCCAUCUGGAGCCUUCCUGAAUUCCCGACCCACAGAAGCCAUGAGAGAUGAGGUGGUUGCUGUUGCUCAGUGGCACUGAGUUUCGUGGUGAUUGUCAUCCUGCAGUGGGACCUGGAACAGAGACCCUUGAGGCAGAACCGUUUGCUUUGUUCACCGGCCUUUACUCUGUGGUGAUCACAGUGCCUGGCACAUGCUCCAGAGCCAGGACAGCACCAGCUUCUCCUGCAAGUCACUCACGUCCUCGUGUUUGGAGACAGUUAGAGACUGACAUGGGUUCCAGCUGGUCUUUCUCUUACCACGGUAUGUCUAACCUUCCUUCCCAACUGCUGGCCCUGAUUACCUCAGGCUCAACACCAGAUACAGAGGUAACUUGCCCUGAUGUCACACAAGCAGGGACUCACCCGGUGGGGCUUUCCCCUCUUGCACCUCUAUCUAUCACCGUGAGAAGAGCAUGCUCUGAGCAGCUCCUGGUCCCAGGAGGAAGAUGAGACUCAUGUGGAGCACGGUCACCCCAGCCACUGCAGGCUGAAGCAAAACUGGGCCCCAGACAAGCCGAGGCCCCCAGUGCAAGGAGAACUGUCCAGCCCAGCCCAGCCUGCGUCAGCCAAACACCGGCUGACACACAAUGCAUGAACAAUAAUAAACACUUGUUUUGUUAAAGCCACUGAGGUUUUUUUGUUUGUUUGUUUGUUUUUGCUUUUGUUGUAUGCCCUUGGUAGCCUGGGGAAGCCUACAGAUCCCUUCUCAGAAU
rnacentral:lncRNA from 1 species